GCACGGAGACCUCGCAGGCCCCCGGAACUGUCGCCCUUCCAGGAUGUGGCUCCCUGCUCUUGUCCUGGCCACUCUCGCUGCUUCCGCGGCUUGGGCAGGGCAUCUGUCCUCGCCACCUUUGGUGGACACCCUGCAUGGCAAAGUGUUGGGGAAGUUCGUCAGCUUAGAAGGAUUUGCACAGCCUGUGGCCGUUUUCCUGGGAAUCCCUUUUGCCAAGCCGCCUCUUGGACCCCUGAGGUUUACUCUACCACAGCCUGCAGAGCCAUGGAACUUUGUGAAGAAUGCCACCUCGUACCCUCCUAUGUUCACCCAAGAUCCCAAGGCGGGGCAGUUAAUCUCAGAGCUAUUUACAAACUGAAAAGAGAACAUUCCUCUCAAGCUUUCUGAAGACUGUCUUUACCUCAAUAUUUACACUCCUGCUGACUUGACCAAGAAAAACAGGCUGCCGGUGAUGGUGUGGAUCCACGGAGGGGGGCUGAUGGUGGGUGCGGCAUCAACCUACGAUGGGCUGGCCCUUGCUGCCCAUGAAAACGUGGUGGUGGUGACCAUUCAAUAUCGCCUGGGCAUCUGGGGAUUCUUCAGCACAGGGGAUGAACACAGCCCGGGGAACUGGGGUCACCUGGACCAGCUGGCUGCCCUGCACUGGGUCCAGGACAACAUUGCCAGCUUUGGAGGGAACCCAGGCUCUGUGACCAUCUUUGGAGGGUCAGUGGGAGGAGAAAGUGUCUCUGUUCUUGUUUUGUCUCCAUUGGCCAAGAACCUCUUCCACCGGGCCAUUUCUGAGAGUGGCGUGGCCCUCACUUCUGUUCUGGUGAAGAAAGGUGAUGUCAAGCCCUUGGCUGAGGUAGGUCUCCGGCUGGUACGUCUCCGGCUGGACACCCCCACCUCCUUGGCUCUAUGCUCCUGAAUCCUCAGGGAUCUCUCUUGUGGUCGGUUGUAGCUAAUGUUCUCCUAGAAUCACUGAGGCACCAAUGGCUGAGCAGGAAGGGCGAGGAGACACCUUGAUCAGCGUCCCAGUUUCACAGCCAGGCAAACCGACACAGGGCUUGGAAGGGAUUUGCCAAGGGCAGCAGGUGAUCAGGGCAGAGCUGGGACUCCAGCUCAUGGCCCUAGCAGCCAGUACAGUGCCCUGUCUGUGACCACACUCCACCUAUGUGCCAGGGCCUGGUGCCAUAUUGGGCAGUGAUGGUGUCUUGUGUCUCUCAGGGUCUGAGUUCUGUGGACCCACUUGUGGGCUGUGGGCCUGAAGCAGUUCCACAAUGAGCGCCUGAUAACCAGGGUUGGUUCCUGGAGAAUUCACUCAUUGAUUCAUUUGUUCACACAACAAAACUAGGUGACUAAGUGAAGGCAAAAACAAGAAAUGGGCAGACGUCAUCCUUUGGCUCAAAGCCAGAUGUCCGUGUGGAGGGGACAUAGACACUGCAUGGCCCUAUGUGGCUCUGCAUUCUAGUCAGACACCUAACACCUCCCCAAGCUUCUGCUAUAAUGUAGGGAAUAGAUGAAUAGCUACAGAAUCACACAACUAGAAAGUGUCACCUAUGACAAGAGCAGUGAAGGUGAGGUACUUGCUGCCACAGCAGAAUCUAAAGAAAGCAUUGAGUCCUGGGGCUGGAAGAGGUUACCAGGGAAGGCUUGCUGGAAAAGUGACUAAUGAGUCAGGAGCAAGGAACGUCCAGGGAGUGGGAGCAGCACAUGCGCGUGCUGUGGCAGGAGGACGCAUCCCAAUCGGGAGGGAGAGACAGAGACAGAGCCGAUGGGGCCAGAGCAGGCAGAACAGGCGGAGCGCGGCGAGUACUGACAGAGGGGACGUUGGGAGGGGCCACCCUGCACAGGACCCUGGCAAGGAUUUUGUCAUCAUCUGGAGAGUGGUUGAAAGCCAAAGGAAGAGGUGAUCGAUAGGAAUCCAGACCUAGGCUGAGGAUCGCCCACUGGAGCCAGUGGCAUGGAGGAUUUCGGUAGCUUUGAAAGCUUGUUUGGGGAAAGCAUCCAAAUUUAAAGGGCUGGUACAUAGGAGGAGAGAAAAUGGGGAUGCCAAGAAUUUUUAGAAUUUUUGAGAAUUUUUUAAGAAUUCAUUGGUUAUAAGCAACAGUUGCCCAUUGACCAGACUUAAGUCAAGAAGGAGCAUUAGCCUGGUGUGGUGGCUCAUGCCUGUAAUCCCUGCAAUUUGGGAGACCGAAUGAGAAGGAUUGCUUGAGCCCAGGAGUUUGAGACCAGCCAGGGCAACAGAGUGAUACCCUGUCUCUACAAAAAAAAAAAAAA